rnacentral:rRNA from 1 species
ACGAACGCUGGCGGCGUGCCUAAUACAUGCAAGUAGAACGCUGAAGCUUGGUGCUUGCACCGGGCGGAUGAGUUGCGAACGGGUGAGUAACGCGUAGGUAACCUGCCUGGUAGCGGGGGAUAACUAUUGGAAACGAUAGCUAAUACCGCAUAAGAGUAGAUGUUGCAUGACAUUUGCUUAAAAGGUGCAAUUGCAUCACUACCAGAUGGACCUGCGUUGUAUUAGCUAGUUGGUGAGGUAACGGCUCACCAAGGCAACGAUACAUAGCCGACCUGAGAGGGUGAUCGGCCACACUGGGACUGAGACACGGCCCAGACUCCUACGGGAGGCAGCAGUAGGGAAUCUUCGGCAAUGGACGGAAGUCUGACCGAGCAACGCCGCGUGAGUGAAGAAGGUUUUCGGAUCGUAAAGCUCUGUUGUAAGAGAAGAACGAGUGUGAGAGUGGAAAGUUCACACUGUGACGGUAUCUUACCAGAAAGGGACGGCUAACUACGUG